ACAGCACACAUCUGACUUCCACUGUUCUCUUCGAACAACAGCACACAUCUGACUUCCACUGUUCUCUUCAGAACAACAGCACACAUCUGACUUCCACUGUUCUCUUCAGAACAUCUGUAUUGGUCUCCUCCAACUUCCACUGUUCUCUUCAGAACAACAGAACACAUCUGACUUCCACUGUUCUCUCAGAACAACAGACACAUCUGACUUCCACUGUUCUCUUCAGAACACAGAACACAUCUGACUUCCACUGUUCUCUUCAGAAAACCUAACACAUCAGCUGUUCUCUUCAGAACAACAGAACAACACAUCUGACUUCCACUGUUCUCUUCAGAACAACAGAAACAUCUGACUUCCACUGUUCUCUUCAGAACAACCAUCACACUCAGCUGUUCUCUUCAGAACAACAGAACACAUCUGUAUUGGUCUCCUCUGACUUCCACCGUUCUUUUCCCCUCUUCUUUUGAAUGGUUGAAGGAUGGAGGAUAGAUAGAAGCUUGUCCAGUUUGGUCCAACUAUUCACCUACACAGGGAUAUUAGAAUCCUGUAAUGACGCUGGGAGCUGGCGUCUGCUGUUACCCUUCUAGACCAGCCUGCAAUGCACCCCUCUAUGGAUACAUUUGGUUUUGGCUGAUUGGUUCCCCUUUGUGUGUCUACCAUUGCCUAUCAUAAGUGCCACUCCUCUCCGCUGUGCAUGUAUAAGCAUCAUGGAAGGUCAGAGUUCACUGCUGAUUUUUGAAGAGCGGACGGGCAUCGAGAGUCCAGGUUGCUACGACUAAAGCAGCUCUCUCUUCUCCUUCGGAACAUUAAAAUUAUUCUACCCCUGCAACCGUCCCAGUAAAGAUUGAGAGAGUCCACUAUCUUUACAGAUCAGCCUAUGAAACGUGUAACACCCACAUCAUACCCACAAGUAAGCUAUAUACAUAUACAUAUAUAGAUAUAUAUAUAUAUAUAUAAAACAUGUUUAUUUUUUUGCUCUGUCACUCUUAUAUAAUAAAUUGACAUAUAUAGUCCAACCAUAAAGAUUACUGAGUGUCGAAAAAAUAUUAUUCUGUACUUUGGCUAAGAUUUAUAAAUCAUGAGACUGAACUACAUCAAAAUAAAUGGUGUGAAGUGUAUGUAUCUUAAAGCUUUGCUUUAAAACAAUUCACUGCAUUACUUUGUUUAUGUUAUGAGUCUUUGUAUAAAGCAUCCUUUGGUAUGGGGGAGAAAGAGCGUCUAGCAAAGUUCUUUGUUGCAGAAUUGUGCCAACAUUUUAAAAAAACAUGUCAAAAUAAACCUGCCUAAAAUGGAAUGGCCAGAGUGAAGCACUUACACUUCAUAUGAAAUAUCAAUGCACCUAUGUGUAGCUGUGUGUUCACCGCAUGUUUGGAGGCCAGAUAUUCUUUCCGUGACUACUUCCUCUAUCUAACAUCGCAGGUUUAGUGAAGCACCACCGAAUUAAAAUCUUAAGCAAUUAGUCAUGUUGUUAUGUAGGGCCUACUGCCCUCAUGUGGUGAACCAACGUUUGACCACCCAUUGUGUUUUUACUCCGGCGUUUUAACUGUGAUUUCAAUAAUGACCUUCAAUGGACCAGCGAAACUCAAAUGGCU
ensembl:lncRNA